rfam:Kuraishia capsulata CBS 1993 genomic scaffold, Kuraishia_capsulata_scaffold_1
GCCUUGCUAGCUCAAUCGGUAGAGCGUGUGACUCUUAAGAGAACACCUCUGUUACAGAAGAUAUCACAAGGUUGGGGGUUCGACCCCCCCGUAGGGCU